GGAUCGCAGUGGAAGAGCAUCUGCCUUGCAUGGAGAAGACCCCAGGUUCAAUCCCUAGCAUCUCCA